UUUUUUUAAGUGUGAUAGAUUCAUUCACGUUGCCAUAUCAAAUCCUCUAAACACUUGUAUAUUCAGAUGGCUAGCAGCAACAACUCAUCUUCAGCUCUUGUGACUUCUUCAAAGAAAAAUCAUUAUGAUGUGUUUGUCAUCUUUAGAGGUGAAGACACUCGCAACAAUUUCACUGAUUUUCUUUUUGAUGCCCUUCAAACAAAAGGCAUUAUUGUAUUUUUGGAUGACACUAAUCUUCCAAAAGGUGAAUCCAUCGGACCCGAGCUCAUUCGAGCAAUCGAAGGAUCUCAGGUUUUUGUUGCAUUCUUUUCAAGAAACUAUGCUUCCUCAACAUGGUGUUUGCAAGAAUUAGAAAAGAUAUGUGAAUGCAUUAAGGGAUCAGGAAAACAUGUUCUUCCUGUUUUCUAUGAUGUUGAUCCUUCUGAGGUGCGGAAGCAAAGUGAGAUUUAUAGUGAAGCUUUUGUCAAACAUGAACAAAGAUUCCAACAAGACUCUAAGAAGGUGUCAAUAUGGAGGGAAGCUCUAGAGCAAGUGGGGGAUAUCUCUGGUUGGGAUCUACAUGAUAAGCCACUAGCUAGAGAAAUUAAAGAGGUUGUUCAAAAGAUAAUCAAUAUAUUGGAAUGCAAAUAUUCAUGUGUUUCAAAAGAUUUAGUUGAGAUUGAUUCUCCUAUACAAGCAUUACAAAAUCAUUUGCUUUUGAACUCGGUUGAUGGUGUUCGUGCUAUAGGAAUUUGUGGAAUUGGAGGAAUUGGGAAAACAACCCUUGCUACGACUUUAUAUGGCCAAAUCUCUCACCAAUUUAGUGCAUCUUUUUUUAUUGAUGAUGUAACUAAAAUUUACAGACUACAUGAUAAUCCACUCGAUGCACAAAAGAAAAUCCUAUUUCAAACUCUCAGCAUAGAACACAAUAAAAUAUGCGAUUGUUACCAUGCAACUACUUUGAUACAAAGGAGGCUAUGUCAUGAAAGAGCCCUUUUGAUUCAGGUUGUGGUCCCAUAAACAAAUUUGCAAUGUUAUGAAGGAGAAUAUGGAAAAACAUGUUGAAGCCAUAGUUUUGAUUCAUGAAAAGAUGGUGGACUUUGAACACUUGUCAAAAAUGAGUAAUCUUAGAGUGCUCAUCAUCAAUGCAUAUAUCUCAAGAAGCCCAACGAGUCUUUCAAACGCAUUAAGAUUUAUUCAGUGGGAGGCAUAUCCUUGCCAGUAUUUGCCAACAAGUUUUAACUCCAAUGAACUUGUAGAAUUGAUCUUGAAGAAAAGCAGCAUUAAACAACUAUGGAAAAACAAGAAGUAUCUUCCCAAUUUGAGAACAUUGGAUCUAAGUAACUCCAAAGAGCUAGAAAAGAUAACAGAUUUUGGAGUUCCCGAAUCUUGAAAAGCUAAAUUUGAAAGGAUGUGUAAAACUUGUGGAGUUGGAUCCAUCUCUUGGACUUCUAAAAAAGCUUGUUUACUUGAACUUAAAAGAUUACAAAAAUCUAGUAAGCAUACCCAACAACAUAUUUGGUCUUAGCUCUCUUGAAGAUCAAAAUAUGUGCGGUUGUUCCAAAGUGUUUGACUAUCCAACAUAUUGUUUGCGUGUUGUUGCCUUUAGUUUUUGCCAUCUAAGUCAAGUUCCCGAUGCAAUUGAAUGUUUACAUUGGCUAGAAAUAUUAAAUUUAGGGGGAAACGAUUUUGUGACACUACCUAGCCUGAGGAAGCUUUCUAAACUUGUAUAUUUAAAUUUGGAACAUUGCAAGUUGUUGGAAUCUUUGCCUCAACUUCCUUUUCCUACCACUAUUGGGUGGGAACAAGAUGAGAACAACAAAUAUUACCAGAUUAUAGGAGAGGGAACGUUGCAGUAGCAUGACACUUUCAUGGAUGAAACAAUUCAUUCAUUCUGGCAAACCCACCAUCCUACCCUGACUAUUUUCAUAGCAUUCAAAUAGUUACUCCAGGAAGUGAAAUGCUAAGUUGGAUCUCCUAUUAGGCAUGACAAUAACAAUAAUGUCAUUGGUUUUGUAUGUUGUGCAGUAUUUUCCAUGACACCUCAGCAUGGGUAUUUUCCACCGUGGUCCCUUAUGGAACUGACUUUAACUACAGAUUCCAAUAGUAUUUUGAGGAAAAUGAGUGUUCCAGUAAUUCUCAAUGGAGGUCUUAUUACGCCCAAAUCAAGUCACCUGUGGAUAAUCUACUUCCACAGUAGGUCACUCUUGUAUCAUUCUAUGGAUAGAAUGCAUGUUAACAUUUUUAAUGGUAAAGAUUUGGUCGAGGUGAAGAGUUGUGAGUAUCGUUGGGUUUUAAACAAGACCUACAAGAGUUCAACUUCACAAUGAUGAAUCACGAAAAUCUCUUAACUGGGAAAUGCAAGAUUUUGGCAAUUGAAGAUUAGACGCAACCGCAACCGCAACCGCAACUAGAACAAGAAUCAUUCAUCUCACAAGUCAUAAUUACUUCACAGAGAAGAAAGUCAACCGCAAUAACAAUCUCCGCUGUCAACCACAAUCAAAGAAAAAUAUCUCAAACCUCCAUAUCAGCCAAAGAAACAGAAGAAUCCGUGGAGGUACCAGAUUCACCUGUUGCAGAUGAAGUUUCUACUGAAUCUCCACAGAAAAAAUCUCGAACCUCCAUAUCAUUGGUCGAUUCAUUGUUUGUGCUUGUUUGAUUACUUUAGUUUGGUUUCUGAAGAAGAUUUAGAUGUGGUACAAUGUUAAGGACAAAUUUGGUCCCUGACACUCUAAAACUAGUGUAGUGAAGCCGACAACAGCCAAAAAUGGAAAACAGUAGUAGUUGUAGGUCGGAGCAGACAGUUGAAGAUGGGAAACUGUAUAGACAUCUUAAUUCUCUUAUCGUCUCUCAUCUUCGUCACAACAAUCUCACUCAGGCUGCAACUGCUGUUGCUUCAGCAACUAUGACACCAUUCAAUGUACAAGCUCCACCCAACAAGAUUCUUCAAUUGGUUGCUAAUAAGGGUCUUGCAGCGGAAAAGGAUGAUUUGCCAAGAGGGAAUCAUCUUCUCCUUUUCAAGAUUUGGGUGCAUCAUUGCCCUUGCCUCGUCCCGGUGCAACAACCAUUGAUUUCAGAUAUAAAAGUUUCGUCAAAAAGUUUCCCAAGGUGUGCUAGGUUUAGUCCUGAUGGAAGAUUUGUUGCCACUAGAAGUGCAGAUACAUCAAUAAAACUAUUUGAGGUUUCAAAGAUCAAGCAGAUGUUGCUCCCAGAUGCAAAGGAUGGUCCUGUGCGGUCUGUAGUAAAAACAUAUUAUGAAAGCCGGAGCAAAGGUUGCAAUUUCAUCUUAUUUGCUUCAUAUUGUUAAAUGUAAGCUUGAUUCUGAUUGUAAUUUUCAUGUGAUUGUGACAAUCUUGUCAUUCUAAUUUGAUUUUGGAUUGUAAGUUUGUACUGAAUGGAUUAUGACAACAUGUGUUAUUUCAUAAAAAUGCUAGUUCCGUUCAAUUUUUUCCCCCCGGUUUAUCUAUAUUUUUUUAGCUGGUUGUAUGUGGUUAGAAUACUGAUGUAAGUGUGUUACUUUGAGCAAAUAAUGCUGGUGUUAACAGAGUGUUAAGCUAGUUGUUUACUACAGAAGAACAUUUUUUCCUUAAUUAAUAUUCUUCACGGGAGACAUUAUCCUCUGCAUAUAAAGAUUAUUUCCAUAAAUAAUGCAGAAUUCAAUCUUGCAUUGUACUUCAAUUUCUUUUCCCUAAUACUGAUAGCUUUGCAAGGUUCCUUGACUUCACUUUCUUAGGAGCUCUGCAGCUAUUCUUACAGUGUUGGUAUGAAGGCGUAAAUCUAUUUGACGAUCCUUUCAGUGUUGGUAUGAAGGCGUAAAUCUAUUCUUAGGAGCUCUGCAGCUAUUCAUACAUGAUGACAUGCAUCCCAUUAGGAAAUAGUUAGCAAAGGAACCUCAAGGAAUUAUGUUUGGAGAAGUACAAUUGCAGGAAUUAUGUGCCAUCAAAAGUUAUCAUCCUUGCUUCAAGAGUGGCCCUAGUGCGCAAAGAUGAUGGCAGAGAGAAAGCAUGGGUACUCCAAACAUGAAGAAGUAUUGGUACCAGGUACGCGUAUGGUACUCCUAACUUACAUACCGAACUGUACUUAUAUUUACUUAGAUGUUUCAUCUUAGUUGGUGCAACAAACGCAUGGACGGUGGAAAAAUAACCAAAAUUAUUUUGCUUUUAUAUUGUAUUUUAAUUCUCACUCUUGCUUUUAAUAAAAAUAGUAGAGGGGGUGCACAUAAAAGUAAAACUAUAUCAAUGUACUUGAAAAAUACAGGCAACAUGAUGAUAGAAUUAAAAGUAUAGUAAUUUACUUGAAAAAUCUUUUUAUUUUUUUAUAGUGUUUUAUAUCAAUGUACCCGUACCUAUGCAUCAUAGGGCAAAGUUGAAUAUUUCGAAUAUUGUAAAUUAUGUGCUACUAGCAUGGAAACCCGUGCCAAGCACGGGCUAGACUUUCGUCAAAUUUAAUAUAUUGGGUGAAGAUAUGGUAUCAUGCACAUCUGUGUGGUCGCUUUGUGUUCAAUGAGUCAAUCAACACCAGUGUUGGCUCUCCUGUACGGUCCAACGACAAUACCAUAUGCCGAUUCAACUUUGUGGGGGAAACAAUUGUUGUUCUUGGUGGUAGAUUACAUAUGCAGAAAGUCUCAUACUUGAGAUAAAGAGGUCAAUGUGUCAAGUGUUAUUUAAAGUUCCACAUUGAAUGCAAUAGUAAAUGUUGAACAAUAUAUAAGUGAUAUGACUCAUAUAUUAAUGACUUAAGGUUUAAGAUGGAGAUGUGGUUUCAAACUCACUUGUGUGGUUUCUUUUAAUCUAACGUGAUGAUCAAACUCAAUAUAUGAUCCUCCGAAACUCACAACAUUAUGAUGUACUGUUUUUUUAGUUUUUGGAAGUUAUUUGUUUAACUUUGGCUUAAUUACAGUUUUGGUCAUCAUAUUUGCACUCACUCAUAUAAUUUGUCCCUCCAUUUCAAAAUCACAUAGUUUUGGUCCCUCUUUUAGAUUUUAUAAACUUAAAGAUGGUGAUAUGUCAUGUUUAAAUUAAAACUUAAUCAAAGUUUUCAAAUAAUUAUGUUGGUAUUGAUCAUUUUACAUCAUUGGAUUGUAUGUCAUGUUAUUUAAAAUAUGUCCAUCAUUGUUUUUCAGUCUUAAAAUAAGAUAAAGAGAUCAAAACUGAGUGAUCUUAAAAUGAACGGACCAAUUUCACGAUUUACUAAAAAUAAGGGACUAAAACUGCAAUUAAGUCUUUAAUUUUUGAAUUUUAAAUUUUAGUUUUUUGAUGCUAUUCUUUUUUUUGUGAUUUUUUUUCAUUUAACCUCUGUUAUUCUCUUUCUUGAGA